rnacentral:ncRNA from 1 species
UGAAGAUUCCUUCAGGAUAGAUGGAGUAUGGAAUGAAGCUGUUAUAUUCGGCAAAGUGAAUGAUUAGAGGAAUUGUGGGACAUCAGACGUCUUCAACCUAUUCUCAAACUUUCAAUGAGUAUGACAUCUUGCUUGCUUGCAUGAAGCAUAGACAAUGAAUGUGUGCUCCAAGUGGACUGGACAAUUUUCGAUAAGCAGAACUGGGCUGUGGGAUGAAUCAAAUAUUAGGUAACGUAUAAGUCCAAAGUAAAGUAUAAGUCACUUGCGAGAAA